GCUGUAGCUCAGUGGCAGAGCACUUGCCUAGCAUGUGUGAGGCACUGGGUUUGAUCCUCAGCACGGCA
rnacentral:tRNA from 1 species